rnacentral:rRNA from 1 species
CAGUCGCCACGGUAAUACGAGGGGGGCUAGCGUUGCUCGGAAUGACUGGGCGUAAAGGGCGCGUAGGCGGCGGCCAAAGUCAGGCGUGAAAUUCCUGGGCUCAACCUGGGGGCUGCGUUUGAUACUUGGUUGCUUGAGUGGGGAAGAGGGUCGUGGAAUUCCCAGUGUAGGGGUGAAAUUCGUAGAUAUUGGGAAGAACACCGGUGGCGAAGGCGGCGACCUGGUCCUUUACUGACGCUGAGGCGCGAAAGCGUGGGGAGCAAACAGGAUUAGAUACCCGCGUAGUCCCUGUCUCUUAUAC